rnacentral:rRNA from 1 species
UACGUAGGUGGCAAGCGUUGUCCGGAUUUAUUGGGUUUAAAGGGUGCGUAGGCGGUCUUAUAAGUCAGUGCUGAAAUAUCCCGGCUUAACCGGGAGGGUGGCAUUGAUACUGUAGGACUUGAGUAGAGUUGAGGUUGGCGGAAUUGACGGUGUAGCGGUGAAAUGCUUAGAUAUCGUCAAGAACACCGAUAGUGAAGACAGCUAACUAAGCUCAAACUGACGCUGAGGCACGAAAGCGUGGGGAUCAAACAGG